rnacentral:rRNA from 1 species
GAACGCUGGCGGCAGGCCUAACACAUGCAAGUCGAACGGUAACAGGAAGAAGCUUGCUCUUGCUGACGAGUGGCGGACGGGUGAGUAAUGUCUGGGAAACUGCCUGAUGGAGGGGGAUAACUACUGGAAACGGUAGCUAAUACCGCAUAACGUCGCAAGACCAAAGAGGGGGACCUUCGGGCCUCUUGCCAUCGGAUGUGCCCAGAUGGGAUUAGCUUGUUGGUGGGGUAACGGCUCACCAAGGCGACGAUCCCUAGCUGGUCUGAGAGGAUGACCCAGCCACACUGGAACUGAGACACGGUCCAGACUCCUACGGGAGGCAGCAGUGGGGAAUAUUGCACAAUGGGCGCAAGCCUGAUGCAGCCAUGCCGCGUGUAUGAAGAAGGCCUUCGGGUUGUAAAGUACUUUCAGCGGGGAGGAAGGGAGUAAAGUUAAUACCUUUGCUCAUUGACGUUACCCGCAGAAGAAGCACCGGCUAACUCCGUGCCAGCAGCAGC